rnacentral:lncRNA from 1 species
GAGGCUUAGGCACAAGGUGGGAAAAACAAACAAAAGGGAGAUAUUAGUGGCUUAGGCUUAGAGUCCGCCUUAUCAUCCUUAUCACUAUAUUCUAUUGUUCACAUUAGAGAUUUUUGGACACCGUUCUGCUAGGAUUCUUUAGUUUUUUUACUCACGUGUUUCUUUGAGCGUGCUUUUUGUCAAACUAAAUCCUCCUCUAGAUAAGUGCUUUAUGCUACUUUUUUUUUCUUUUUCUCUUUUUUUUCUUGAAGUUUUUC